rnacentral:rRNA from 1 species
CCUACGGGUGGCAGCAGUGAGGAAUAUUGGUCAAUGGUCGGGAGACUGAACCAGCCAAGCCGCGUGAGGGAUGAAGGUACAGAGUAUCGUAAACCUCUUUUGUCAGGGAACAAAGGCGGGGACGUGUCCCCGGAUGAGUGUACCUGAUGAAAAAGCAUCGGCUAACUCCGUGCCAGCAGCCGCGGUAAUACGGAGGAUGCGAGCGUUAUCCGGAUUUAUUGGGUUUAAAGGGUGCGGAGGCGGUCUGUUAAGUCAGCGGUCAAAGCCCGGGGCUCAACCCCGGGCCGCCGGUGGAACCUGGCAGUCGCGAGUGGGGGAGAGGUAGGCGGAAUGCGCGGUGUAGCGGGGAAAUGCAUAGAUAUCGCGCAGAACUCCGAUUGCGAAGGCAGCAUGCCGGCUCCACACUGACGCUGAGGCACGAAAGCGUGGGUAUCGAACAGGAUUAGAUACCCGAGUAGUC